UUUAAUUGAAGAGUUUGAUCAUGGCUCAGAUUGAACGCUGGCGGCAGGCCUAACACAUGCAAGUCGAGCGGUAACAUUU
rnacentral:rRNA from 1 species